CUCGUGGAUCAGUGGCGAACGGGUGAGUAACACGUGAGUAACCUGCCCAUCACUCUGGGAUAAGCGCUGGAAACGGCGUCUAAUACUGGAUACGACCAACCCUUGCAUGGGGUGUUGGUGGAAAGAUUUAUCGGUGAUGGAUGGACUCGCGGCCUAUCAGCUUGUUGGUGGGGUAAUGGCCUACCAAGGCGACGACGGGUAGCCGGCCUGAGAGGGCGACCGGCCACACUGGGACUGAGACACGGCCCAGACUCCUACGGGAGGCAGCAGUGGGGAAUAUUGCACAAUUGGGCGAAAGCCUGAUGCAGCGACGCCGCGUGAGGGAUGACGGCCUUUCGGGUUGUAAACCUCUUUCAGCAGGGAAGAAGCUUUUGUGACGGUACCUGCAGAAGAAGCACCGGGCUAACUACGUGCCAGCAGCCGCGGUAAUACGUAGGGUGCGAGCGUUGUCCGGAAUUAUUGGGCGUAAAGAGCUUGUAGGCGGUUUGUCGCGUCUGCUGUGAAAAUCUAGGGCUUAACCCUGGGACGUGCAGUGGGUACGGGCAGACUAGAGUAUGGUAGGGGAGACUGGAAAUUCCUGGUGUAGCGGUGGAAUGCGCAGAUAUCAGGAGGAACACCGAUGGCGAAGGCAGGUCUCUGGGCCAUUACUGACGCUGAGAAGCGAAAGCAUGGGGAGCGAACAGGAUUAGAUACCCUGGUAGUCCAUGCCGUAAACGUUGGGCGCUAGGCGUGGGUCUCAUUCCCACGAGAUCCGUGUCGCAGCUAACGCAUUAAGCGCCCCCGCCUGGGGAGUACGGCCGCAAGGCUAAAACUCAAAGGAAUUGACGGGGGCCCGCACAAGCGGCGGAGCAUGCUGAUUAAUUCGAUGCAACGCGAAGAACCUUACCAAGGCUUGACAUGCACCGGAUCGCCUCAGAGAUGGGGUUUCCCUUUGGGCUGGUGCACAGGUGGUGCAUGGUUGUCGUCAGCUCGUGUCGUGAGAUGUUGGGUUAAGUCCCGCAACGAGCGCAACCCUCGUUCUAUGUUGCCAGCACGUUAUGGUGGGGACUCAUAGGAGACUGCCGGGGUCAACUCGGAGGAAGGUGGGGAUGACGUCAAAUCAUCAUGCCCCUUAUGUCUUGGGCUUCAAGCAUGCUACAAUGGCCGGUACAGAGGGCUGCGAUACCGUAAGGUGGAGCGAAUCCCAAAAAACCGGUCUCAGUUCGGAUUGGGGUCUGCAACUCGAC
rnacentral:rRNA from 1 species